GUCCACGCCGUAACGAUGGAUACUAGCUGUUCGGAGCAAUCUGAGUGGCUAAGCGAAAGUGAUAAGUAUCCCACCUGGGGAGUACGUUCGCAAGAAUGAAACUCAAAGGAAUUGACGGCGGCCCGCACAAGCGGUGGAGCAUGUGGUUAAUUCGAUGAUACGCGAGGAACCUUACCAAGGCUUAAAUGGGAAACGACAGGUUUGGAAACAGACUUUUCUUCGGACGUUUUUCAAGGUGCUGCAUGGUUGUCGU
rnacentral:rRNA from 1 species